GCGCUGCAAACCGAGGAGUCGAUCCCUCUGGUCCAUGCAGACCUGCAGAGAAAUGGGGCGUACGGAGGGCCAUUAGGGCCAAAAGAAGGUGACAAAAGCAGGAAGUGGACUACAGCGCAUUGCUUUCUGGGUUGGGAGUUGCGUUACCUCGUGCCGACGGGUAGAGGGAGCUGUUCAGGUAAUGUGACGGAAGGCGUUUCCGCUGCACACAAACAGGAAGUGG